GGCGAGUUACGAUUUGAUGCAAGGUUAAGCAGUAAAUGUGGAGCCGUAGCGAAAGCGAGUCUGAAUAGGGCGUUUAGUAUUUGGUCGUAGACCCGAAACCAGGUGAUCUACCCUUGGUCAGGUUGAAGUUCAGGUAACACUGAAUGGAGGACCGAACCGACUUACGUUGAAAAGUGAGCGGAUGAACUGAGGGUAGCGGAGAAAUUCCAAUCGAACCUGGAGAUAGCUGGUUCUCUCCGAAAUAGCUUUAGGGCUAGCCUCAAGUGAUGAUUAUUGGAGGUAGAGCACUGUUUGGACGAGGGGCCCCUCUCGGGUUACCGAAUUCAGACAAACUCCGAAUGCCAAUUAAUUUAACUUGGGAGUCAGAACAUGGGUGAUAAGGUCCGUGUUCGAAAGGGAAACAGCCCAGACCACCAGCUAAGGUCCCAAAAUAUAUGUUAAGUGGAAAAGGAUGUGGCGUUGCCCAGACAACUAGGAUGUUGGCUUAGAAGCAGCCAUCAUUUAAAGAGUGCGUAAUAGCUCACUAGUCGAGUGACACUGCGCCGAAAAUGUACCGGGGCUAAACAUAUUACCGAAGCUGUGGAUUGUCCUUUGGACAAUGGUAGGAGAGCGUUCUAAGGGCGUUGAAGCAUGAUCGUAAGGACAUGUGGAGCGCUUAGAAGUGAGAAUGCCGGUGUGAGUAGCGAAAGACGGGUGAGAAUCCCGUCCACCGAUUGACUAAGGUUUCCAGAGGAAGGCUCGUCCGCUCUGGGUUAGUCGGGUCCUAAGCUGAGGCCGACAGGCGUAGGCGAUGGAUAACAGGUUGAUAUUCCUGUACCACCUAUAAUCGUUUUAAUCGAUGGGGGGACGCAGUAGGAUAGGCGAAGCGUGCGAUUGGAUUGCACGUCUAAGCAGUAAGGCUGAGUAUUAGGCAAAUCCGGUACUCGUUAAGGCUGAGCUGUGAUGGGGAGAAGACAUUGAGUCUUCGAGUCGUUGAUUUCACACUGCCGAGAAAAGCCUCUAGAUAGAAAAUAGGUGCCCGUACCGCAAACCGACACAGGUAGUCAAGAUGAGAAUUCUAAGGUGAGCGAGCGAACUCUCGUUAAGGAACUCGGCAAAAUGACCCCGUAACUUCGGGAGAAGGGGUGCUCUUUAGGGUUAACGCCCAGAAGAGCCGCAGUGAAUAGGCCCAAGCGACUGUUUAUCAAAAACACAGGUCUCUGCUAAACCGUAAGGUGAUGUAUAGGGGCUGACGCCUGCCCGGUGCUGGAAGGUUAAGAGGAGUGGUUAGCUUCUGCGAAGCUACGAAUCGAAGCCCCAGUAAACGGCGGCCGUAACUAUAACGGUCCUAAGGUAGCGAAAUUCCUUGUCGGGUAAGUUCCGACCCGCACGAAAGGCGUAACGAUUUGGGCACUGUCUCAACGAGAGACUCGGUGAAAUCAUAGUACCUGUGAAGAUGCAGGUUACCCGCGACAGGACGGAAAGACCCCGUGGAGCUUUACUGUAGCCUGAUAUUGAAAUUCGGCACAGCUUGUACAGGAUAGGUAGGAGCCUUUGAAACGUGAGCGCUAGCUUACGUGGAGGCGCUGGUGGGAUACUACCCUAGCUGUGUUGGCUUUCUAACCCGCACCACUUA
rnacentral:rRNA from 1 species